rnacentral:tRNA from 1 species
GUCUCUGUAGCUCAGUUGGUUAGAGCAUUUGACUGUUAAUCAAAGGGUCGCAGGUUCGAGUCCUGCCAGGGACGCCA